rnacentral:rRNA from 1 species
AUUGAACGCUGGCGGUAUGCUUAACACAUGCAAGUCGAACGGUAGCAGGCCUUCGGGCGCUGACGAGUGGCGGACGGGUGAGUAAUGCAUAGGAAUCUGCCAAUUAGUGGGGGAUAACGUGGGGAAACUCACGCUAAUACCGCAUACGCCCUACGGGGGAAAGCUGGGGACCUUCGGGCCUGGCGCUAAUUGAUGAGCCUAUGUUGGAUUAGCUAGUUGGUAGGGUAAAGGCCUACCAAGGCGACGAUCCAUAGCUGGUCUGAGAGGAUGAUCAGCCACACUGGGACGAGGACACGGCCCAGACUCCUACGGGGGGCAGCAGUGGGGAAUAUUGGAGAAUGGGCGAAAGCCUGAUCCAGCAAUACCGCGUGUGUGAGGAAGGCCUGAGGGUUGUAAAGCACUUUCAAUAGGAAGGAAUACCUACCGGUUAAUACCCGGUAGACUGACAUUACCUAUACAAGAAGCACCGGCUAACUCCGUGCCAGCCGCCGCCGUAACAC